CCUCUCUGAAAUCGAUACAGACAUAAAAAUAAAAUGAAAACUGAGAUUCGGCGCCCAGAGCCACCGGGGGCCUCAGCUCACUGUCCACUCGAUGUGGGGAGGUGAAACCCAGGCCCCGACACGC